GGGAAGAAAAACCAUAACUCGUAGGGGAACACCCCAAAGAUCUACGUCUUUCAUCAAGCGCUCAUUGAGGUGAUCUUCAACAUGAUGUUGAGGAUGUUGAUGACGAGGCUUAGUCCUCAUAGAAGGGUUAUGCUAUGAUAGGGGUAGAGGGUGUCACACUUUCUCACUCAAUGAAGCUAUUUUGCUCAGUUAACCUUCAUGGGAUGAAUGACUAAGUAUAGAAUGAUUCACUUAAUGAGAUCGAUUAACAACAUGAAUCUUUGUAGAGUGAACUGGUGUAAAAAAAAAGUUUUCUACAUCAAUUAUUUGAGAAUUGAUGUAAAAAACUUGUUUUAAAUAGCAAAAAUACCAUUAUAUCACUUUCUAUAUCGAUUA